GAUGAACGCUGGCGGCGUGCCUAAUACAUGCAAGUCGAGCGAACAGACGAGGAGCUUGCUCCUCUGACGUUAGCGGCGGACGGGUGAGUAACACGUGGAUAACCUACCUAUAAGACUGGGAUAACUUCGGGAAACCGGAGCUAAUACCGGAUAAUAUAUUGAACCGCAUGGUUCAAUAGUGAAAGACGGUUUUGCUGUCACUUAUAGAUGGAUCCGCGCCGCAUGAGCUAGUUGGUAAGGUAACGGCUUACCAAGGCAACGAUGCGUAGCCGACCUGAGAGGGUGAUCGGCCACACGAGAACUGAGACACGGUCCAGACGCCUACGGGAGGCAGCAGUAGGGAAUCUUACGCAAUGGGCGAAAGCUUGACGGAGCAACGCCGCGUGAGUGAUGAAGGUCUUCGGAUCGUAAAACUCGGUUAUUAGGGAAGAACAAAUGUGUAAGUAACUAUGCACGUCUUGACGGUACCUAAUCAGAAAGCCACGGCUAACUACGUG
rnacentral:rRNA from 1 species